rnacentral:rRNA from 1 species
UACGGAGGGUCCAAGCGUUAUCCGGAAUCAUUGGGUUUAAAGGGUCCGUAGGCGGUUUGUAAGUCAGUGGUGAAAGCCCAUCGCUCAACGGUGGAACGGCCAUUGAUACUGCCAGACUUGAAUUAUUAGGAAGUAACUAGAAUAUGUAGUGUAGCGGUGAAAUGCUUAGAGAUUACAUGGAAUACCAAUUGCGAAGGCAGGUUACUACUAAUGGAUUGACGCUGAUGGACGAAAGCGUGGGUAGCGAACAGG